UUGAACGCUGGCGGCAUGCCUUACACAUGCAAGUCGAACUGCAGCGCGGGAGCAAUCCUGGCGGCGAGUGGCGAACGGGUGAGUAAUACAUCGGAACGUGCCCAAUCGUGGGGGAUAACGCAGCGAAAGCUGUGCUAAUACCGCAUACGAUCUACGGAUGAAAGCAGGGGAUCGCAAGACCUUGCGCGAAUGGAGCGGCCGAUGGCAGAUUAGGUAGUUGGUGAGGUAAAGGCUCACCAAGCCUUCGAUCUGUAGCUGGUCUGAGAGGACGACCAGCCACACUGGGACUGAGACACGGCCCAGACUCCUACGGGAGGCAGCAGUGGGGAAUUUUGGACAAUGGGCGAAAGCCUGAUCCAGCCAUGCCGCGUGCAGGAUGAAGGCCUUCGGGUUGUAAACUGCUUUUGUACGGAACGAAACGGUCUUUUCUAAUAAAGAAGGCUAAUGACGGUACCGUAAGAAUAAGCACCGGCUAACUACGUG
rnacentral:rRNA from 1 species